AGAGCCUACAGUCAUGGCCGCCGCCGUUGCUGCUGCCGGUGCCGGGGAACCCCAGUCCCCGGACGAAUUGCUCCCGAAAGGCGACGCGGAGAAGCCUGAGGAGGAGCUGGAGGAGGACGACGAUGAGGAGCUAGAUGAGACCCUGUCGGAGAGACUAUGGCGCCUGACGGAGAUGUUUCCGGAGAGGGUCCGGUCCGCGGCCGGAGCCACUUUUGAUCUUUCCCUCUUUGUGGCUCAAAAAAUGUACAGGUUUUCCAGGGCAGCCUUGUGGAUUGGGACCACUUCCUUUAUGAUCCUGGUUCUUCCCGUUGUCUUUGAGACUGAGAAGUUGCAAAUGGAGCAACAGCAGCAACUGCAGCAGCGGCAGAUACUUCUAGGGCCUAACACAGGGCUCUCAGGAGGAAUGCCAGGGGCUCUACCCUCACUUCCUGGAAAGAUCUAGUUUGUUACUGCUGUUUGAGCUGUCUCGGUGGGAUAAGUUUGAAAUUCAAGUGUUUGAACUGCUGAUUAUUUGGAUUUUUUUUUUUUUUUAACUUUGGCACAUUGAUCUAUCUAAACCUGGUGGGGAGAAUUCUCCUCACAUUGUCUCAUGGAAAGACUCAACUUGCAACUGUGCCCUCCACACUAUCCUUACUUCUGUCUUCACUCUGAUACCAGAGUGUAGCCAUGCAGACGGUUAUUCCUGCUCUGGCCACCCCACUCCUUUCACCAAAUUGCUCCUAACUAGAAGAUGUCACUUUCCCCUUGUGGGUAGGAACCGAUGCCAGUGGGAGGGAUGUGCCCCUGACCAUUAACGACUGCCUUUUUUAUUUUUAUUUUUUUUUAAAGAAUGGAGCUGUUGGGGAGGGACAUGCACGCAAUGUGAAAGACAAAAUGCAUUACACCUGUAGUGUAAAGCGGCCACUAUGAAUCCCUAUGUAUGAGAGGAGGGAGGCUGGCUGCAGCUUCAGCCACAGAAUGGGGACUGUGGAAGACAGAUCAGGAGUUCAUUUCCCCUGCACAGUUUGGUUGUUAGACCUGUGUGUGUGUUUAAAAAAAACAGAAGUCAGUGCUCACUUUUUGUAUUUAAAUAUUAAAAAUGAUUCCAACUGAAAAAAAAAAAAAAAAAAAAAAA